GGGGACGGUGGCUCGGCGGAAGAGCUUCCGCUUCGCUUUCAGAAGGUCCCGAGUUCGAUUCCCGGCAUCUCCG
rnacentral:tRNA from 1 species